AACGAACGCUGGCGGCAUGCCUAACACAUGCAAGUCGAACGAGACCUUCGGGUCUAGUGGCGCACGGGUGCGUAACGCGUGGGAAUCUACCCUUGGGCUCGGAAUAACAGUUAGAAAUGACUGCUAAUACCGGAUGAUGACGUAAGUCCAAAGAUUUAUCGCCCAAGGAUGAGCCCGCGUAAGAUUAGCUUGUUGGUGGGGUAAUGGCCUACCAAGGCUACGAUCUUUAGCUGGUCUGAGAGGAUGAUCAGCCACACUGGGACUGAGACACGGCCCAGACUCCUACGGGAGGCAGCAGUGGGGAAUAUUGGACAAUGGGCGAAAGCCUGAUCCAGCAAUGCCGCGUGAGUGAUGAAGGCCUUAGGGUUAUAAAGCUCUUUUACCAGGGAUGAUAAUGACAGUACCUGGAGAAUAAGCUCCGGCUAACUCCGUGCCAGCCGCCGCCGUAA
rnacentral:rRNA from 1 species